GAAACACCUGCAGUGAUUCUAGCAUCUGCAUUCUCAGGGAGCUCCCUGUCUUCUUCAAGGUCUGUUGAUGAAGCUGAGCAGGUUUCUUCUUGCCCUUCACCUUGGUGGGAGCUGUUUCUUGCCUGGGUCCUGGGGUCUUGCUGGCUUGGUUGCCCAUGGCUUUUGAGGACUGUCUGCUGGCCUCCUUUGCCAUGUCCAGGGGCAAUCGAGCCUCCCCUCAAAGAAACAGGAGCCUGUACCUAAGCCUCUGAGCACCACAGCAAUGGGCAAAGACUUGUAGUUGGACUCCUGGUGUCAGAAAUUUGCUUACAAAUAAUUACAGAAUGGAGAGGAAACAGUAAAGUAGAGAAAUGUGAAGUUUUGUUAUCUAUCCUAUCAACCCAAGUGUUUUGUUCUGGGUCUGCUUAAUCCAAGCAGAGAUUAAUUAUCUGUCAAUCAGGAAGGUUGGUAGUGAGUAACCAGGAGGCCUCCUCCAAGAUGGAAGCUAGUGUCUUCAAAAACUAGAAAAGGAAUCAGCCUUUCCUCACCCAAGGGAGUAGUCCAAUAGUCAGAGUCUAAGGUGAAGCUGAGCUCCAAGUCCACAAUCCAACCUGUAGUCUGCAGUGAAGCUCCCUCAUAGACUCUUCCCAGUCAGAAGACUUUCUCCAGAAGACACAAUCUCUUCACACCAUCUUCUCAAGGACAAUCUCCUCUGACGGAGUUCAGGGCUUGUUUUUAUGGUGACUUCUUGUCUCCUCCUCUCUUCACAGGAGCCAAUCACAGCUUCCAAAUUGCUGAGUUCUGCCCAGGGGGCAGAGUUUGUGGGAACUAGUUCUCACCUUCUGAAGGCUGUUAGCAAAGAGGCUCCAUUCCUUAGUGACCUGGGAGAAGUGGACACAUGCAGUGAAGGCAGCCAGCCAGCAGAUGCCAGUGUGUUCUCAGGUGUGAGAGGUGAGAAAUCUUCAGGUAAUUCGGAAAGGCUGAAAACAAAUAGCCCAGGGAAUCUUCUUUGCUCUGAAAGGCAGAAAUCCAUCUCUGCUGUUCUGUGUUCUUCCCUCCCAGUAUUGCCAAGGGAUAGAUAA
ensembl:lncRNA